rnacentral:rRNA from 1 species
UGGGGAAUUUUGCACAAUGGAGGAAACUCUGAUGCAGCGACGCCGCGUGAGUGAUGAAGAUCUUCGGAUUGUAAAACUCUGUCCUUCGUGAAGAGAAUGACAGUAACUAAGAAGCAAGCCCUGGCUAAAUACGUGCCAGCAGCCGCGGUAAUACGUAUGGGGCAAGCGUUGUCCGGAAUUAUUGGGCGUAAAGGGUACGUAGGCGGUUUAAUAAGUCCUAAUUAAAAGGCUAUGGCUCAACCAUAGUAUGGUUAGGAAACUGUUGAACUUGAGUAGAUGAGGGGAAAGUGGAAUUCCAUGUGUAGCGGUGAAAUGCGUAGAUAUAUGGAGGAAAACCAAUGGCGAAGGCAACUUUCUGGAAUCAAACUGACGCUGAGGUACGAAGGCGUGGGGAGCAAACAGG